rnacentral:rRNA from 1 species
GACGAACGCUGGCGGCGCGCCUAACACAUGCAAGUCGAACGGAGCUGUUUUCUCUGAAGUUUUCGGAUGGAAGAGAGUUCAGCUUAGUGGCGAACGGGUGAGUAACACGUGAGCAACCUACCUUUCAGUGGGGGACAACAUUUGGAAACGAAUGCUAAUACCGCAUAAGACCACAGUGUCGCAUGGCACAGGGGUCAAAGGAUUUAUCCGCUGAAAGAUGGGCUCGCGUCCGAUUAGCUAGAUGGUGAGGUAACGGCCCACCAUGGCGACGAUCGGUAGCCGGACUGAGAGGUUGAACGGCCACAUUGGGACUGAGACACGGCCCAGACUCCUACGGGAGGCAGCAGUGGGGAAUAUUGCACAAUGGGGGAAACCCUGAUGCAGCGACGCCGCGUGGAGGAAGAAGGUCUUCGGAUUGUAAA